UUUUCUUCUCUGUUUUGUUUCUCUGUUUAUUUGAUAUUUGAAAGUAGAAAAAGAAAAAUGUCAUCCUGUUUAGCUGGUGGUAGAGCAGCUUAUAAAUUAGAUUUAGAGAUUAUAAAGUCUCCAUCUACUUCGUGGAUCUCCCAAUCAUCUUCGCCAUCUUCAACAUUAUCUGAAUCGAGCAAUUCUCCCAUUGCAAUCUCUACUAGAAAACCUCGAACACCUCG
rnacentral:misc_RNA from 1 species